CGGCAAGAUACCCUGGUGACGUGUCUAAUGUUUGACUCGGGCUGCCGCGAACACACCAUAAUCCGUGCUGAGUAUCCUCCGGUUACUUUUGCUAGACUUCCCAUCUUCAUUCCCGCUCCAGGAUAGUACUCCUGUUUUACCAGGUACCAUCCAACUUGUUACUCAUUUGGGAUGGUGUCAUUCAUGAUGGGACCCCCGUAAUGAGUAAAUCAGGGCAAUAUGGCUCCACUUGGUUCGUGACCCAUGACGUGGCCAAAGUGGACGUAGGGAGGCGCAGCCCUGCAGGUGGCUAAGAUGGGACCUGGCGUUUCGGGCCUUUCCAGAGAGAGGAGGAGUCUUCCUUCGGUGAGCUUCGAUCCCAGGGUCUACAUCCACGCCGCAGGGGUGUCUGGGGGCGUGCCAGGCCAGCUUCAAGCUUGUAAUCACUUGGGGACGGGCUUUGUUUUUUUUGUUAGGGUGGUCCACUGUCAAUAAAAUGUAGAUUCUUCAGUAGUUCACUUACUCAAGGAGUGAGUCAGUUAUCCUUUUAGAUGUUUCUGAGCUUCAGUUAUUCAGCCAACUUGUUAGUGUAGUAUAAAUUAGGUAGCAUUCAAUAUUUUCGUGACCGUCAUUUAUAUGACGUUCCACACAGGCACCCAUAUGAAGGUUUGCAGUUAAACACAGGCUUGGUAGUUUCCAGGAAACAAUAGUUAAAUAGUGCAGCGAAGCAGCUUAGCGUCAAGCAUAGCAUUAGCUAUAGGAAGGGACCAGACCAGCCGAGACGAUGCCCGAAAGACAUACUGUAUCUGUCAUACUGUAUCUCUCCGCCACUGCUAACAGAAAUUUCCCACCACAAGUUCAGCUGAUGGAACAAAUUUCUAUUUUUGUGGCGUGUAAGAUUUUCAUUUUGUAUUGUUUUACAAACUAAUUGACGUUGAACUAAGUCAAGGUGCCACGCACAGGCAGUGUUCCCCCGCUACAUCGAGGUUCACCUUUCGCGUACUCGCUGUGUGUUGUGUUCUGCGUCCUGGUUGGCUGAGGGAGCACCCACGCAUUGUGUUCUGCUUCCUGAUUGGCUAAGGGACUGUAGAGCAUUGUCAAUCAAUCUCCUCCGUGCCUCCCGUUCCGUACAGAAUGCGUUCGGCUUGCCAAAAUUACAUAAAUGUUCGAUCGUGAGCAGCGUGACUCUGAAGUGUAUGUUUGCAAGUUUCAUCCCCGACAUGUUGACGAAACAUUCGGUACCGCCAAAGGCACCUGCAGUCGCACCCGAGAGGCAGAGGAGGAAGGAGCAGUCGCAGCUAUAGGGCGCCGUUGCAGAAGGAGGAAGGAAGGGGGAAAAUAUGACGACAGCAGCAAUAUGUUUGACAAGGAUACAAAAACGCUACAGUAUAGCAGAACGGCGCCAGGACGACGACGAGGCAGAGGAGUGAAAUAUGCACAUAUGUCCCUGAAUCAUUUCUGGUGUCCAACCUCGUAGGUCAAUCAUUAAAAUUCAAAGGAAGGUUUGAACUUUUUUUGAGUGUUUAAACAAGAGAGAAAUGUGAUGAAAUGUUCAUGCCUGUCUGGAGAAUAGCGUAUCAAGUGUAAGGUGAGGGCUUUUACAGCCUUCAAACAUACCAUCCUUGUACAACA